GAAAGUAAGCAAGGGCGCAUGGCGGAUGCCUUGGCUCUCGGAGGCGAUGAAGGACGUGAUAAGCUGCGAUAAGCUUCGGGUAGGUGCAAAUAACCUUUGAUCCGAAGAUUUCCGAAUGGGACAACCCGGCAUUCUGAAGGAAUGUCAUCCAUCCUGGAUGGAAGCUAACGCAGGGAACUGAAACAUCUUAGUACCUGUAGGAAAAGAAAAUAAUAAUGAUUCCCCAAGUAGUGGCGAGCGAACGGGGAUUAGCCCAAACCAAUGUUGUUACGGCAAUAUUGGGGUUGUAGGACCACGAUGUCGCAAGAACUUUAGUGAGAAGAAUUCUUUGGAAAAUGAAACCAUAGACGGUGAUAGUCCGGUAUUCGAAGCUAAACGAAGCGUAGUGGUAUCCUGAGUAGCGCGGGACACGAGGAAUCUUGCGUGAAUCUGCCGGGACCAUCCGGUAAGGCUAAAUACUCCCGAGAGACCGAUAGCGAACCAGUACUGUGAAGGAAAGGUGAAAAGCACUUCGAAUAGAAGAGUGAAAUAGUCCCUGAAACCGUGCGCCUACAAGCGGUCGGAGCAGCGUAAGUUGUGACGGCGUGCCUUUUGCAUAAUGAACCUACGAGUUACUUUUUCCGGCAAGGUUAAGCAUUUCAAAAUGUGUAGCCGAAGCGAAAGCGAGUCUGAACAGGGCGAUUAGUCGGAAGGAGUAGACGCGAAACCAAGUGAUCUACCCUUGGUCAGGUUGAAGGUUAGGUAACACUAACUGGAGGACCGAACCGAUAAGCGUUGAAAAGCUUCCGGAUGAACUGAGGGUGGGGGUGAAAGGCUAAUCAAACUUGGAGAUAGCUCGUACUCCCCGAAAUGCAUUUAGGUGCAGCCUUGGGAAUUACUACUGUGAGGUAGAGCGACUGAUAAGAUGCGAGGGCUUCACCGCCUAUCAAGUCUUGAUAAACUCCGAAUGCGCAGUAGUUCGAUCCCAGGAGUGAGGGCAUGGGUGCUAAGGUCCAUGUCCUAAAGGAGAAGAAUCCGGACCAUCAGCUAAGGUCCCGAAAUAAUUGCUAAGUUGAACUAACGAAGUCAGAUUGCUAAGACAGCUAGGAUGUUGGCUUGGAAGCAGCCAUUCAUUUAAAGAGUGCGUAACAGCUCACUAGUCGAGGAGUUUGGCGUGGAUAAUAAUCGGGCAUUAAGCAAUUUACCGAAGCUAUGGGAUGUUAACUAAACACUAACAUCGGUAGGGGAGCAUUCCACUCUGCGUCGAAGGUGAAGCGUGAGCUUUGCUGGAGCGUGUGGAAAAGCAAAUGUAGGUAUAAGUAACGAUAAAGGGGGUGAGAAACCCCCUCGCCGAAAGACUAAGGUUUCCUGAUCAACGCUAAUCGGAUCAGGGUUAGUCGGGUCCUAAGGCUCAGCCGAACGGUGAGGCCGAUGGCAGAACAGGUUAAUAUUCCUGUACUACCUUAAGGAGUGACGUGGAGACGGAGGCGUGAUAGCGCCGCGGACUGACGGAAUAGUCCGUUGAAGGGUGUAGAUGUUGAUCUUUGCAGGCAAAUCCACAAAGAGAGUCGAACCUGAUAGUAUACCAAAUUCUUCGGAAUAAGGUAAUAGUGCGUGUAAACAUACUCCCAAGAAAAUCCGCUAAACUUAAUCUUUAAGGUACCCGUACCGCAAACGGACACACGUAGUCGGGUUGAAUAUACUAAGGCGCUUGAGUGAUUCACGGUUAAGGAACUAGGCAAAUUGACCCUGUAACUUCGGGAUAAAGGGUCCCAACGAGAGUUGGGCGCAGAGAAUAGGUCCAGGCAACUGUUUAACAAAAACACAGGGCUGUGCCAAAUUGAAAGAUUACGUAUACAGCCUGACACCUGCCCGGUGCUGGAAGGUUAAGAGGAGNNNNNNNNNNNNNNNNNNNNNNNNNNNNNNNNNNNNNNNNNNNNNNNNNNNNNNNNNNNNNNNNNNNNNNNNNNNNNNNNNNNNNNNNNNNNNNNNNNNNNNNNNNNNNNNNNNNNGGAACGUUCUUCGGAACAAUCCAAUAGUGCGUGUAAACAUACUCCCAAGAAAAUCCGCUAAACUUAAUCUUUAAGGUACCCGUACCGCAAACGGACACACGUAGUCGGGUUGAAUAUACUAAGGCGCUUGAGUGAUUCACGGUUAAGGAACUAGGCAAAUUGACCCUGUAACUUCGGGAUAAAGGGUCCCAACGAGAGUUGGGCGCAGAGAAUAGGUCCAGGCAACUGUUUAACAAAAACACAGGGCUGUGCCAAAUUGAAAGAUUACGUAUACAGCCUGACACCUGCCCGGUGCUGGAAGGUUAAGAGGAGAUGUCAUCGCAAGAGAAGCAUUGAAUUGAAGCCCCAGUAAACGGCGGCCGUAACUAUAACGGUCCUAAGGUAGCGAAAUUCCUUGUCGGGUAAGUUCCGACCUGCACGAAUGGUGUAAUGAUCUGGACACUGUCUCAACCGUGAGCUCAGUGAAAUUGUAGUAUCGGUGAAGAUGCCGAUUACCCGCGAUGGGACGAAAAGACCCCGUGAACCUUUACUAUAGCUUAACAUUGAAUUUGGGUAAUUGAUGUGUAGGAUAGGCCGGAGACUUCGAAGCAGGUACGCCAGUAUUUGUGGAGUCGCUGUUGAAAUACGGCCCUUUGAUUAUUUGAGUUCUAACUCGUAGAUGCGAGGACACUGUUUGGUGGGUAGUUUGACUGGGGUGGUCGCCUCCAAAAGUGUAACGGAGGCUUCUAAAGGUGCCCUCAGGACGAUUGGUAACCGUCCGUAGAGUGUAAUGGCAUAAGGGCGCUUGACUGGGAGACAGACAAGUCGAUCAGGUAGGAAACUAGAGCAUAGUGAUCCGGUGUUUCCGCAUGGAAGGGACAUCGCUCAAAGGAUAAAAGGUACUCCGGGGAUAACAGGCUGAUCCCUCCCAAGAGCUCAUAUCGACGGAGGGGUUUGGCACCUCGAUGUCGGCUCGUCACAUCCUGGGGCUGGAGAAGGUCCCAAGGGUUGGGCUGUUCGCCCAUUAAAGUGGCACGCGAGCUGGGUUCAGAACGUCGUGAGACAGUUCGGUCUCUAUCUAUCGUGGGCGUAUGAAAUUUGCGUGGCUCUGACACUAGUACGAGAGGACCGUGUUGGACUGACCGCUGGUUUACCAGUUGUGCCGCCAGGUGCAUCGCUGGGUAUCUAAGUCGGGAUUGGAUAAGUGCUGAAAGCAUCUAAGUACGAAGCCAGCCACAAGAUUAGAUUUCUUAGGGUCGUCAAAGACGAUGACGUUGAUAGGAUGCAGGUGUAAAGGUGGUAACAUCAAAGCCGAGCAUUACUAAUUGCCCGUUCACUUUCUUUC
rnacentral:rRNA from 1 species